GGAUGAACGCUAGCGACAGGCUUAACACAUGCAAGUCGAGGUGCAGCACAGGUAGCAAUACCGGGUGGCGACCGGCGCACGGGUGAGUAACGCGUAUGCAACUUACCUAUCAGAGGGGGAUAACCCGGCGAAAGUCGGACUAAUACCGCAUGAAGCAGGGGCCCCGCAUGGGGAUAUUUGCUAAAGAUUCAUCGCUGAUAGAUAGGCAUGCGUUCCAUUAGGCAGUUGGCGGGGUAACGGCCCACCAAACCGACGAUGGAUAGGGGUUCUGAGAGGAAGGUCCCCCACAUUGGUACUGAGACACGGACCAAACUCCUACGGGAGGCAGCAGUGAGGAAUAUUGGUCAAUGGCCGAGAGGCUGAACCAGCCAAGUCGCGUGAGGGAUGAAGGUUCUAUGGAUCGUAAACCUCUUUUAUAAGGGAAUAAAGUGCGGGACGUGUCCCGUUUUGUAUGUACCUUAUGAAUAAGGAUCGGCUAACUCCGUGCCAGCAGCCGCGGUAAUACGGAGGAUCCGAGCGUUAUCCGGAUUUAUUGGGUUUAAAGGGUGCGUAGGCGGCCUUUUAAGUCAGCGGUGAAAGUCUGUGGCUCAACCAUAGAAUUGCCGUUGAAACUGGGGGGCUUGAGUAUGUUUGAGGCAGGCGGAAUGCGUGGUGUAGCGGUGAAAUGCAUAGAUAUCACGCAGAACCCCGAUUGCGAAGGCAGCCUGCCAAGCCAUUACUGACGCUGAUGCACGAAAGCGUGGGGAUCAAACAGGAUUAGAUACCCUGGUAGUCCACGCAGUAAACGAUGAUCACUAGCUGUUUGCGAUACACUGUAAGCGGCACAGCGAAAGCGUUAAGUGAUCCACCUGGGGAGUACGCCGGCAACGGUGAAACUCAAAGGAAUUGACGGGGGCCCGCACAAGCGGAGGAACAUGUGGUUUAAUUCGAUGAUACGCGAGGAACCUUACCCGGGUUUGAACGCAUUCGGACCGAGGUGGAAACACCUUUUCUAGCAAUAGCCGUUUGCGAGGUGCUGCAUGGUUGUCGUCAGCUCGUGCCGUGAGGUGUCGGCUUAAGUGCCAUAACGAGCGCAACCCUUGCCACUAGUUACUAACAGGUAAAGCUGAGGACUCUGGUGGGACUGCCAGCGUAAGCUGCGAGGAAGGCGGGGAUGACGUCAAAUCAGCACGGCCCUUACAUCCGGGGCGACACACGUGUUACAAUGGCGUGGACAAAGGGAAGCCACCUGGCGACAGGGAGCGAAUCCCCAAACCACGUCUCAGUUCGGAUCGGAGUCUGCAACCCGACUCCGUGAAGCUGGAUUCGCUAGUAAUCGCGCAUCAGCCAUGGCGCGGUGAAUACGUUCCCGGGCCUUGUACACACCGCCCGUCAAGCCAUGGGAGCCGGGGGUACAUGAAGUCCGUAACCGCGAGGAUCGGCCUAGGGUA
rnacentral:rRNA from 1 species